GUCAUAUUUAAUUAGUGAAGGUUCAUUCAAACGUCGAUGGUUGAUGGUUCGAUAUAUAUAUAUACAGCUAAUUCAAAAAAGGUUGUCCUUUGCAAACCUAUACUUACUCUAAACCUUAAACCUUAAACUCUAAGCAUGCAAAGCCUAAUGGGCCGGGGCAUAACUAUUUAAUCAGUUUAGAGAUCAUAUAUGGGGCUAAAUAUCUCCUUAUGAGAACAAUUCAUUCACAAAAGCUGUAAUAUUCAACUACUAAGCUUGAAACUCAUAUAAAGCUAUAAUGAGUCGCUGGACCACAGUACAACCGAAGUACUUCACCCCGAAAUUCAGCUUUAGUUUUUAAGUUCCGAGUCUGAGAGAGUUGCUGCCUGCCUGCGCAAUUGUGGAUGUUGUGAGAGCUAUAUUGUUGGUUGUGGUCGUACUAAGCCGGUUACAGAUGAGCAAGUUUUCCGAUAUGACAAGUUUUAUAUGCUCGUCUGUGUAGGCAACCGUUUGCCAAUUUUUACUAUGACAAGUAAACGUCACAGAAAAAUUGGCAAAAUCAACAAAGAAAAUUAUUUGGCAAAGCAAUUUGCUCACGUACAUGCGGAUUAAUUGGCCAGCGAUCUAUAUUGCAUGUUCAUUGAUAGCUAAUCAGAUAUCGUGGCGGUCAUGCAGAAAAACAAAAACUUGCUACACACGUGCAAUCGACAAAGACUUGUCAUAUCGGGCCGUGGGCUGUUGGCCAAAAUUAUUUCGCUUCGUGGCACCCAUGUGGGAAAUACUUGGUUUGGGGUUUAUUUGAAAGGCAUAUAGGUACAUCACUACCAAAAAAAAGUUCCCAAGCAAAAAGUUGCCAAAUACCGGGAAAAUGGGUGAUCAAUGAUUAUCCUCUAUUAAAUUGUAGCCUAUUACAGCAAAAAAUGGGAAAUUUUAUAAUUCCAUUACUGAUAAAAAUGAGUUGCAUCAUCGGAAAACGUACAAAAAACCGCAUAUAAGACUUUUAAACAGUUUUUUGAUCUUUCAAAUAGUCUUUGAGUUAUUCGGCUAUUUUAAAUGUGAAAAUUCGGACCAAAAUGUCGCAAUAACGACUGGGUACUAGGUCAAAAAUGCGUUUUUGACAGCGUAUAACUCGAAAACAAUUUUAGGGACCGGUCAUUAUUUAUGGCAGGGGUGGGGGCCGAAGAGAAAGUAUAAUGAAGCCGGAAAAAAUCAUUACCCAACUUUUUCGAAACAAAAUUUCUAGCUACCCCACCGGUGGAAUGCCAGAAAAUUUUUUUACCCCACCCAAACCUAUUUUGUUGCAAUGUCAAAGGUUCAGACAUAAAAUAUGUAAUGAAACAGUUUAGUAUUUUGUAUGCGUAUUACUCAUCAAGGUACAAAAUUGCCCUUGCUGUUAGAGAGUAUCUGCUGUUAGAGAGUAAAUAAUAAUUAUUAUAGGGUGCUUUGACCACAGUGGACAUUAUAAUUAAAAGGGAAUAGGAUUGAUUGGUAAUACUUGUUUACCAAUAUCCCUUGCCCCUUAUUUCUUGUGGAGUAAUUAAAGCACACUAACAGUCAUGUCUUUAUAUUAUGGGUUACCCCUACA
rnacentral:lncRNA from 1 species